AUCUGACAUCAGCUGACCAAAGGCUGCUCUGCUCAAUUCAGUACUAUCUGAUAGCUCAGUGACCAUGGAGUGUUUCAAACCUUUGUUGCUGUUGGCCAUCUGUGGCUUAGCUUACAGUGAAGUAAUCAAAACUCAGAAAUGUUACAUUCCCGGAGGCCAAUCCCCCAACUGUAUCGUGCAUGAGGUGAAGAUCGACCCUUGUCCCGAGGCUGCUGAAGACAAACCAUGUAAAAUCAAGUUGGGAACAAAUGCAACUCUCUCCUUCGAGUACACUCCAAAUUGGGGUACGUCAAAAGCUGGAAGUCAAGCUUUCAAAGUAGGAACUUUGGUCGACAUAGGUUUUGAGAACAUGGACACCAACGGAUGCAAGUACACAACUUGUCCUAUUGAAGAAAACAAGCGUCAAACUUACACUUUCGCUCUGCAAGUUGAAAAACAAUUCCCUGUGGGCACGCAUCCUACCAAGUUUAAGUUAUGGAAUGAAGAUGACUUCCACCAACAAUGCUGUUUUAAGAUUCCCAUCAAACUUGUUAAUUAAUUUUACACUUUAUAUUGGAUUCAAGAUAUUGUAAAUUUUCCUAAUCACAAUACAACUCAUCAAAUCAGAUGGAAGUUAUGGGACGAGGAAGAUUUCCAUCGACAAUGCUGCUUCAAAUACCCUCUAACUCUCAUCAAAUAAUAAAGAAAAUCCAAUGUUACCAGAGCGAAAUGUAAAGUAAAAUAAAUAAACAUAUUAUAGAUUGCACAAAA